CCUACGGGUGGCUGCAGUGGGGAAUAUUGCACAAUGGGGGCAAGCCUGAUGCAGCGACGCCGCGUGAGUGAAGAAGGAAUUCGGUAUGUAAAGCUCUAUCAGCAGGGAGGAAAAUGAUGGUACUUUAGUAAGAAGCACUGGAUAACUACGUGCCAGCAGCCGCGGUAAUACGUAGGGGGCAAGCGUUAGCCGGAUUUACUGGGGGUAAAGGGAAUGUAGACGGCAGGUCAAGUCUGGAGUGAAAGGCGGGGGCUCAACCCGCGGACUGCUCCUGAAACUGGACGGCUGGAGUGCAGGAGAGGUAAGUGGAAUUCCUGGUGUAGCGGUGAAAUGCGUAGAGAUUAGGAGGAACACCAGUGGCGAAGGCGGCUUACUGGACUGUAACUGACGUUGAGGCUCGAAAGCGUGGGGAGCAAACAGGAUUAGAUACCCGAGUAGUC
rnacentral:rRNA from 1 species